rnacentral:snRNA from 1 species
GUGUGCUUUGGCAUACAUAUACUAAAACUAGAACAAUACAGAGAAGAUUAGCUUGGCCUCUGCACAAGGAUGACACGCACAUUUGUGAAGUGUUCCAUAUUUUU